rnacentral:rRNA from 1 species
UGCCUGCCCGGUGAUUUGGAAAAAUUAAACGGCUGCGGUACUUUGACCGUGCAAAGGUAGCAUAAUCAUUAGCCUAAUAAUUUUAGGCUGGAAUCAACGGCAAGACGAAGGAAAAGCUGUCUCCCUAUAUAGAAGCUGAAUUUUCCAUUUUGGUAAAAAGGCCAAAAUUAGUUAGUGGGACGAGAAGACCCUAUUGAGCUUUAAUUUUAUUUUAGAAAAUAAAUUUAAAAUAAGAAUUUUGAUUGGGGCAAUUAUUCUUUUAAUAAAAUAAGAAGAAGAUUAAAUUAAUGAAUUAAAUCAAGAGUGACCCAAAAAAUUUUGAGGGAUAGAAAAAGUUACCAUAGGGAUAACAGCGUAAUUCUUUUUGAGAGUACUUAUUGACAAAAGAGUUUGCGACCUCGAUGUUGGAUCAAGUUUACCUGAGGGUGCAGCAGCUCUCAAAGGUUGGUUUGUUCAACCAUUAAAAGCUU